AACGAACGCUGGCGGCAUGCUUCAUACAUGCAAGUCGAACGGUUGUAGCAAUACAAUAGUGGCGAACGGGUGAGUAACACGUGGAUAAUCUGCCCUUUGGCGGGGGAUAUCGGCUGGAAACGGCCGGCAAUACCGCAUGUGGUUCGUGGGUCUUCGGCCCUGCGAAAGAAAGGCGCUUCACGGCGUCACCAGAGGAUGAGUCCGCGGCCCAUUAGCUAGUUGGUGAGAUAACAGCCCACCAAGGCUUUGAUGGGUAGCCGAGCUGAGAGGUUGAUCGGCCACACUGGAACUGAGACACGGUCCAGACACCUACGGGUGGCAGCAGUAGGGAAUAUUGGACAAUGGGCGCAAGCCUGAUCCAGCAAUGCCGCGUGAGUGACGAAGGAUUUCGGUCUGUAAAGCUCUUUUCUGGGGGAAGAAAUGAUGGAAGAGGAAAUGCUUCCAUUUUGACGGUACCUCAGGAAUAAGGGACGGCUAACUCCGUGCCAGCAGCCG
rnacentral:rRNA from 1 species